CAUUAAGUGGCUGAAUUGCAAGCAAUGAUCUCUUAAAUCAUAAUAUAAUAUAUUAGCAAAUAUUCUUAAUGA
rnacentral:tRNA from 1 species